AGUGAACGCUGGCGGUAGGCCUAACACAUGCAAGUCGAACGGCAGCACAGUAAGAGCUUGCUCUUACGGGUGGCGAGUGGCGGACGGGUGAGGAAUACAUCGGAAUCUACUUUUUCGUGGGGGAUAACGUAGGGAAACUUACGCUAAUACCGCAUACGACCUACGGGUGAAAGCAGGGGAUCUUCGGACCUUGCGCGAUAGAAUGAGCCGAUGUCGGAUUAGCUAGUUGGCGGGGUAAAGGCCCACCAAGGCGACGAUCCGUAGCUGGUCUGAGAGGAUGAUCAGCCACACUGGAACUGAGACACGGUCCAGACUCGUACGGGAGGCAGCAGUGGGGAAUAUUGGACAAUGGGCGGAAGCCUGAUCCAGCCAUACCGCGUGGGUGAAGAGGGCCUUCGCGUUGUAAAGCCAUUUUGUUGGGAAAGAAAAGCAGCAGGUUAAUACCCCGCUGUUCUGACGGUACCCAAAGAAUAAGCACCGGCUAACUUCGUG
rnacentral:rRNA from 1 species